UUAAAUUGAAGAGUUUGAUCAUGGCUCAGAUUGAACGCUGGCGGCAGGCCUAACACAUGCAAGUCGAACGGUAACAGGAAGCAGCUUGCUGCUUCGCUGACGAGUGGCGGACGGGUGAGUAAUGUCUGGGAAACUGCCUGAUGGAGGGGGAUAACUACUGGAAACGGUAGCUAAUACCGCAUAAUGUCGCAAGACCAAAGAGGGGGACCUUCGGGCCUCUUGCCAUCGGAUGUGCCCAGAUGGGAUUAGCUUGU
rnacentral:rRNA from 1 species